CAGGUAAAGUUUUGGAGUAAGGGCAUAAUAAAGAGAGAUGACACUUUGGUGCACUCUCCUCUUUUGCCAACAUUCAGUUCCUGCACCCUGUAAAAGAUUACAAGCCUCAGUGGAUGUGAUCCCCGCCAAAUCUCAGUGGUAUGGAAACUUCCCAAAGCCUGAUGCUGGGAAGUUCUGAGUGUUCCUGCCUGCCCACUUCUCUCACCCGUGGUCCUUGACGCUCAGGUCCAAGCUGUGCUCCUGCAAGGGGUCCUGACUGGUGGCAGAUGUGGGUCCCAUGGCCUCCGCAGGUUCCUGCUUCACCUGGACUGGAUUGAACCGUCCGGGAGGUGCUGGUUGUCCAUUACCUGCUCAAGAAAUACAGGGAAAUGAUGUGCAAAAAAAUAAAUUAAAAGCAUAGGUCUAAAAUGAGGUUACAACAGCAAAUAAGUAAGUUAAAUCAUUGGCAUCAGUGCCUAAGUGGAAAAAGCAAAAAAAAGUGUGUGGGGGAGGGAAGUACUGGGAUUGCUGGUCAGCGUUUAUUGCCAAGUUGACAUGAUGGGUUCUGACGUCCACUCCAGUGUGGAAAUUCUUCAAGUGAUAAUUAUUGCAAAAUUAUGUCAAAGUUGUCCAGGCUACGGGCCCUUUAAAGGAGAAGGGCGGAAGGAGCGUGGGGGAGACCUGAUUCUCUGCACAAACUGUCAUAACUAAUUUGCGGGGCUGCCUCUUAAGCGUUUAUUAAAGACUCUGUUAAUGCU